GCCAACAGUAAGAUGAAAUGUAUACUGCUGACAUAACCUAAAAUCGUAUCAUCAUGCAUAAUCGGGCCACGACGACGGGCGGCACGCGAGCGUUUUGAGGUCGCGUCAGAUUCGCGCGCACGUCGUCGUCUGGUCGCUCGCCUAAUUGUCAAAAUAAAGAACAAAACAAAAAAAAAACAAAACAAAUGGCGAUCACAAAGAUCUUGCUGCGAUUGGACGUCGCGAGAUUCACCGGACUCAGACAUUUAAGCACCAAGCCAAAAUUCGGACUACUCUUUGACAUCGACGGGGUCAUCGUGCGCGGUAAGCAAGUGUUGUCGCCAGUGAGGGAGUCCUUCAAGCAGCUUCGAGGGGAUAACGGCAAAUUCCGCGUGCCCACUCUGUUCGUCACCAACAGCGGGAAUUCCCUGUGCAGGCAGAAAGCGGCCGAUCUGUCGGAAUGGAUUGGCUUCGAGGUCGCCGAGUCACAAGUCGUGCUGGCGCACACGCCGUUGCAGAUGUUCGACUACUUGCACGACAAGCAGGUGCUGAUAUCCGGCCAGGGCCCGAUUAAGGAGAUCGCCCGGGAGCUGGGCUUCAAGAAGACCACCACCGUGGACGAAUUGGUGAGGAACUUUCCCUGCUUGGACUACGUGAACGUGAAGAGGCGGAAUCCAGUCUGCGGGCCGAUCGAUCCGAAUUUCGCGCGGAUCGAGGGUAUCGUGCUGCUGAGCGAGCCGAUCAAUUGGGAGACGCCGUUGCAGCUGAUGGUGGACCUCCUAGUCACCAACGGGAUGCCUACGGGUCUGCCCGCCGCUAUUCCUUACCCGCACAUUCCAGUGCUGGCGUGCAACAUGGAUCUGCUGUGGGUGUCCGAGGCGCCGAUCCCCAGAUACGGCCACGGCGCGUUCCUCCUAUGCCUCGAGAGCCUGUACCGCAAAGUCACGGGCAAAGACAUAACGUACUCCGCUCUAGUCGGCAAACCUAGUGAGAUUACGUAUUACCACGCGAAUCGUAUGCUCGUCAAUCACGCCCGGAGCAUCGGGAUCGACAACGUCGACACGAUCUAUGCGAUCGGCGACAACAUCAACACGGACGUGUUCGGCGCGAACCUGUACGACAAAUAUUUGUCCCGCUACGAGUCCGGAGAAGGCACCAAGUCCCGCAGUCUCGAGAAGCUGUUGGGGAAGAACAUGAAGUCCCCCAGUGCGAAGGCCUGCAUCAGUAUCUUAGUGGAGACCGGCGUGCAUCAGCGAGACUCGAAAUUUAUACCCGACCAUAGCCCCAGGGACUUCUUGCCAGUCGAGGACGGCCUAUGCAAGCCGGCGUUCAUUGUCAAAGAUGUUGGGCAGGCGAUCAAGCUCGCGUUCAAAGAGGAGAAGUUCGAGUGAAUUCGAGUGCGUAGUAAGAUACUUCUAGCCUUGGAGUGUUCACAUUCUUACGUCGCCAGAAAGACAGAGCGAGCGAGAGCGAAAGUGAAAGAGUGCGAGAGAGGGAGUGAAAGAGAACACAAGUAACGUCCUUUGACGUUCUCGCUGUUGAGAAGAAAAGACAGAGAAAUGGAGAACAGUGAUCUACCGCCAAAGCGUCAUUCGCGCGCACUUAGACGUACCGCCGUGAGGAGAACCGCGCGCUGACUCGCAGCAGGUGUGAAAGCGCACAUUAUACCUUCUUUAUUCGCCCUCGCAGGUCGCAAGCUCGACACGGCAAUCGACUUAUAUGUCGCAUUGCAUGUAAUACCGGCGAGACGCACGUCGACUAACGUUUGCCGGGACGAAGACUGACCACCUUAAGGUAGAACUUAGACGAGCGUCGUGGCUUUCAAAUCAGCUUAUAUCGUUCGCUCACGACGAUUACAGCUGCAAUAAAGUUAUCACAUGCCAAUAAAACCCUGGCUGGCUCUCAGCCCGCCAGCCAGCAAC